rnacentral:rRNA from 1 species
AGUGAACGCUGGCGGCGUGCCUAAUACAUGCAAGUCGAACGAAGUGGCGCACGGGUGAGUCAUAUAUAGUUAAUAUUCCCUCCACAGAGGGACAACAAAUGGAAAAGGCUGCUAAUACCUCAUAGUGUAGGAUGAGACUAUAUCGUAUCAGUUAGUUGGUAAGGUAAUGGCGUACCAAGGUUAUGACGCGUACCUGGUCUGAGAGGAUGAUCAGUAACAUGGGAACUGAGACACGGUCCAAACUCCUACGGGAUGCAGCAGUAAGGAAUAUUGCGCAAUGGGGGAAACCCUAACGCAGCAACGCCGCGUGGAGGAUGACACUUUUCGGAGCGUAAACUCCUUUUAUCAGGAAAGCGGUACCUGAUGAAUAAGCACCGGCUAACUCCGUGCCAGCAGCCGCGGUAAUAC